rnacentral:rRNA from 1 species
UACGGAGGGUGCGAGCGUUGUCCGGAAUCAUUGGGCGUAAAGGGCGCGUAGGUGGCGGGAUAAGCGUGCGGUGAAAGCCUGGGGCUCAACCCCGGGUCUGCCGUGCGAACUGUCUUGCUUGAGCACUGUAGAGGCAGGCGGAAUUCCGGGUGUAGCGGUGGAAUGCGUAGAGAUCCGGAAGAACACCGGUGGCGAAGGCGGCCUGCUGGGCAGUUGCUGACACUGAGGCGCGACAGCGUGGGGAGCAAACAGG